rnacentral:rRNA from 1 species
AUUGAACGCUGGCGGCAUGCCUUACACAUGCAAGUCGAACGGUAACAGGUCUUCGGAUGCUGACGAGUGGCGAACGGGUGAGUAAUACAUCGGAACGUGCCUAGUAGUGGGGGAUAACUACUCGAAAGAGUGGCUAAUACCGCAUGAGAUCUACGGAUGAAAGCAGGGGAUCGCAAGACCUUGUGCUACUAGAGCGGCCGAUGGCAGAUUAGGUAGUUGGUGGGAUAAAAGCUUACCAAGCCGACGAUCUGUAGCUGGUCUGAGAGGACGAUCAGCCACACUGGGACUGAGACACGGCCCUGACUCCUACGGGAGGCAGGAGUGGGGAAUUUUGGACAAUGGUCGAAAGCCUGAUUCAGCAAGGCCGCGUGCAGGAUGAAGGCCUUCGGGUUGUAAACUGCGUUUGUACGGAACGAAAAGCCCCGGGUUAAUACCCUGGGGUCAUGACGGUACCGUAAGAAUAAGCACCGGCUAACUACGUGCCAGCCGCCGCGGUAA